rnacentral:rRNA from 1 species
CAAUAGCGUAUAUUAACGUUGUUGCAGUUAAAAAGCUCGUAGUUGAAUUUCUGGCGGGCGCGCCGGUCUUCCAAGUGUUGUACUGGGCGCAGUCCGCCAUCCUUGUGGAGAGGGCUCGCAUUGAGUUGCGUGUCGGAUCUGCAUCAUUUACUGUGAAAAAAUUAGAGUGUUUAAAGCAGGCUGUCGCUUGGAUACAUUAGCAUGGAAUAAUAAGAUAGGACUUCGGUCUAUUUUGUUGGUUGCGAACCAAGGUAAUGAUUAAUAGGGAUAGUUGGGGGUAUUCAUAUUUAAUUGUCAGAGGUGAAAUUCUUGGAUUUAUGAAAGAUGAACAACUGCGAAAGCAUUUACCAAGGAUGUUUUCAUUAA